UGUAUACUCCCUCCGUUCCAAAUUACUCAUCACAGAAAUGGAUGUAUCUAGAACUAAAAUACAUCUAGAUACAUCCAUACCCGCGACAAGUAAUUCGGAACGGAGGGAGUAUAUG
rnacentral:pre_miRNA from 1 species